rnacentral:rRNA from 1 species
GAUGAACGCUGGCGGCGUGCCUAAUACAUGCAAGUCGAGCGAACGGACGAGAAGCUUGCUUCUCUGAUGUUAGCGGCGGACGGGUGAGUAACACGUGGAUAACCUACCUAUAAGACUGGGAUAACUUCGGGAAACCGGAGCUAAUACCGGAUAAUAUUUUGAACCGCAUGGUUCAAAAGUGAAAGACGGUCUUGCUGUCACUUAUAGAUGGAUCCGCGCUGCAUUAGCUAGUUGGUAAGGUAACGGCUUACCAAGGCAACGAUGCAUAGCCGACCUGAGAGGGUGAUCGGCCACACUGGAACUGAGGCACGGUCCAGACUCCUACGGGAGGCAGCAGUAGGGAAUCUUCCGCAAUGGGCGAAAGCCUGACGGAGCAACGCCGCGUGAGUGGUGAAGGUCUUCGGAUCGUAAAACUCUGUUAUUAGGGAAGAACAUAUGUGUAAGUAACUGUGCACAUCUUGACGGUACCUAAUCAGAAAGCCACGGCUAACUACGUG